rnacentral:rRNA from 1 species
GAUGAACGCUGGCGGCGUGCCUAAUACAUGCCAGUCGAGCGAACAGACGAGGAGCUUGCUCCUCUGACGUUAGCGGCGGACGGGUGAGUAACACGUGGAUAACCUACCUAUAAGACUGGGAUAACUUCGGGAAACCGGAGCUAAUACCGGAUAAUAUAUUGAACCGCAUGGUUCAAUAGUGAAAGACGGUUUUGCUGUCACUUAUAGAUGGAUCCGCGCCGCAUUAGCUAGUUGGUAAGGUAACGGCUUACCAAGGCAACGAUGCGUAGCCGACCUGAGAGGGUGAUCGGCCACACUGGAACUGAGACACGGUCCAGACUCCUACGGGAGGCAGCAGUAGGGAAUCUUCCGCAAUGGGCGAAAGCCUGACGGAGCAACGCCGCGUGAGUGAUGAAGGUCUUCGGAUCGUAAAACUCUGUUAGUAGGGAAGAACAAAUGUGUAAGUAACUAUGCACGUCUUGACGGUACCUAAUCAGAAAGCCACGGCUAACUACGUG